rnacentral:rRNA from 1 species
CGAGUCAUUGUAGCAUACAAGGCGGACGGCUCAGUAACACGUAGUCAACCUACACUCGUGGACGUGGAUAACCUCGGGAAACUGAGAAUAAACCACGAUAGAUCAUAGUGCCUGGAAUGGCUUAUGGUCCAAACAGUUUACUGCCAUGGGAUGGGACUGCGGCCUAUCAGCUUGUUGGUGAGGUAAUGGCCCACCAAGGCGAUUACAGGUACGGGCUCUGAGAGGAGAAGCCCGGAGAUGGGUACUGAGACACGGACCCAGGCCCUAUGGGGCGCAGCAGGCGAGAAACCUUAGCAAUGUGCGAAAGCACGACUGGGUCAGUCCGAGUGAUUCCUGAUAAAGGAGUCUUUUGCUUGUCCUAAAAGCACAGGUGAAUAAGGGGUGGGCAAGUCUGGUGUCAGCCGCCGCGGUAAUACCAGCACCUCGAGUGGUCAGGACGUUUAUUGGGCCUAAAGCAUCCGUAGCCGGCGCUGCAAGUCUUCGGUUAAAUCCACCUGCUCAACAGAUGGGCUGCUGGAGAUACUACAGCGCUAGGGAGUGGGAGAGGCAGACGGUAUUCAGUGGGUAGGGGUAAAAUCCUCUGAUCCAUUGAGGACCACCAGUGGCGAAGGCGGUCUGCCAGAACACGUUCGACGGUGAGGGAUGAAAGCUGGGGGAGCAAACCGGAUUAGAUACCCGGGUAGUCCCAGCUG